rnacentral:lncRNA from 1 species
GUAGAAAAUAGCACAGUGGAGAUGAUCAUGUUGUCAGCAGACACACAGGAGUCACACUAUUCACAGAAGAAGCCUUGAGAGGUUUCUGAAAAUGCCUGACAUUCUCCCAAGGUCACAAGGGUAUAAAGACAUUACCUGCCUAAGCAAGCCUCAAGUAGGAAGUCUCCAGAGACCACAGAAAUCCUUAAAAUGGCUGAAGAAUCCUCAUCAAUGGAGGAAAGCCCUAGGCACUUGGUGUAUUUGAGCUCAUCUGUGGACAGUGAGGCUGAUGCACCUGGCCUACAUCUCCCAAGAGGCUCGUGCAGAUUGGAACAGGAGCACAGCACUCUGUGAGGGAGGCCAGAGACACAUUUUCACAUGGUAACUGUGUAAGGACACAGCUGCUUGGCUCAGGUGCAGCAUCUAUUUGCCCUCAGUGCUGUCAGCACUGGGAACAGGAGGAAAGAGUUCAGGAGAUGUGGUCUCUUGGGAGAUCUAACACCAUACUGAUAAUGUGUUACCUGUUUAUAACUUCUGAGUGUCUUCAGGCC